rnacentral:tRNA from 1 species
AAAACUUAGUUAAAAAUAUAACAUUAGUUUGUCAAACUAAAAUAAUCAUCAGAUAGUUUUUUA